CAGUAGCCGCGGUAAUACGGAGGGUGCAAGCGUUAAUCGGAAUUACUGGGCGUAAAGCGCACGCAGGCGGUCUGACAAGUCAGAUGUGAAAUCCCCGGGCUUAACCUGGGAACUGCAUUUGAAACUGUCAGGCUGGAGUCUUGUAGAGGGGGGUGGAAUUCCAGGUGUAGCGGUGAAAUGCGUAGAGAUCUGGAGGAAUACCGGUGGCGAAGGCGGCCCCCUGGACAAAGACUGACGCUCAGGUGCGAAAGCGUGGGGAGCAAACAGGAUUAGAUACCCCUGUAGACCCUGUCUCUUAUAC
rnacentral:rRNA from 1 species